rnacentral:lncRNA from 1 species
CCCGCCGCCAGCUCCGCGUCCGAGCCCCCAGCCGCUGCCUCUUUGUCUGCACCCGGGACGCCGCUCUGGAGAAACGAACCUCAGACCCCCGGCGCGCCCGCCAUCCAGCUCUCAGAUCCCAGAGAGGACCGGGAUGGGGAAGAAGGUGCGAGGAAACCCGAGAGGCCUGGACCAAGGGGCUUCUCAUCAUCUCGGGAUCUCCUUUAAAAGCUUUUGAAAGGGACUGGAGGGGAGGCAGCAACAGCCUGCUCCGGGCCGGUGCAGCGGAGGGCGGCCAGCAUUUCACUCCCAUGGACCAUGGCAACCCCAGAAGCUUUGCAGCUCCUGGAAGGAAUUUGCAGCUGUGGGUGAAGCCCAGUAUUUUACAACGACUUAGUAGUGGAUAGGGGGCCCAGGGCUUCCCCAUCCUCUCUGGUGGAAGGGAAUAAUCAGGAGGGUGACCCCCUUGCUGACCUUUAUUCAAAGCACUGGUGCUGCUUGGACCAACAGGCAUGCACAGAGCAGGGGGAGGGAACUGCAAUGAAAAUGCAUGGAGUUCUGAACAAACAAGUAAAUGUAUCUGCUGGCACCUCCCCUGGAUUCAGGCUUAAGUCACAAAAAUCCUGUUUCCUAACUCAACAUCACCUUAGUUUGCAAGUUGCAAGGUCAAAGUGUGGUGGCACCCCUGGUAUCCAGUAUGGAUAUUCCUAAUCUGAAAGUCAUACCUCACCCUCUCAUCUGAAUACUUUUCAGCACUAAUGCACAACCUAUAUAAUCAUAGAUGCGGUAGAAAAAGGCAGAGACUACUGUUGAGUGGGAUGCAAAUAAACACUUCUGUUUUCCU